AACGUAGGAGACAAACGUUAUCCGGAGUUACUGGGCGUAAAGGGCGUGUAGGCGGUUUGUUAAGUCUGGCGUGAAAGCCCUCGGCUAAACCGGGAGAGGUCGUUGGAUACUGGCAAACUAGAGGACGGUAGAGGCGUGUGGAAUUCCGGGUGUAGUGGUGAAAUGCGUAGGGAUCCGGAGGAACACCAGUGGCGAAGGCGACACGCUGGGCCGUACCUGACGCUAAAGCGCGACAGCGUGGGGAGCAAACAGG
rnacentral:rRNA from 1 species